GCUCUGAUGGCCUAGUAGUUAGAGCGUCCGCCUCCAAUGCGGUAGGUCGUGGGUUGGGUACCCGGCCGAUUCAUACCAAAGCC